rnacentral:rRNA from 1 species
GACGAACGCUGGCGGCGUGCCUAAUACAUGCAAGUCGAACGCUUCUUUCCUCCCUAGUGCUUGCACUCCAUUGGAAAGCGGAGUGGCGGACUGGUGAGUAACACGUUGUUAACCUACCCAUCAUAGGGGGAUAACACUUGGAAACAGGUUCUAAUACCGCAUAACAGUUUAUGCCGCAUUGCAUAAGAGUGAAUGGCGCUUUCGGUUGUCGCUGAUGGUUGGACCCGCGGUGCAUUAGCUAGUUGGUGAGGUAACGGCUCACCAAGGCCACGAUGCAUAGACGACCUGAGAGGGUGAUCGGCCACACUGGGACUGAGACACGGCCCAGACUCCUACGGGAGGCAGCAGUAGGGAAUAUUCGGCAAUGGACGAAAGUAUGACCGAGCAACGCCGCGUGAGUGAAGAAGGUGUUCGGAUCGUAAAACUCUGUUGUUAGAGAAGAAAAAGGACGUUAGUAACUGAACGUAAACUGACGGUAUCUAAACAGAAAGCCACGGCUAACUACGUG